UCAGGAACACUGUGCCUAACCCGGGGGCAUGUCUAGCUUGCUAGCCGUCCCUCGUGUUGCAAAGCUAUUUAAUCCACACGACUCUCGGCAACGGAUAUCUCGGCUCUCGCAUCGAUGAAGAACGUAGCGAAAUGCGAUACCUGGUGUGAAUUGCAGAAUCCCGCGAACCAUCGAGUCUUUGAACGCAAGUUGCGCCCGAGGCCACUCGGCCGAGGGCGCGCCUGCCUGGGCGUCACGCCAAAACACGCUCCCAACCACCCUCAACGGGAUUCGGGAUGCGGCAUCUGGUCCCUCGUCUCUCAAGGGACGGUGGACCGAAGAUUGGGCUGCCGGCGUACCGCGCCGGACACAGCGCAUGGUGGGCGUCCUCGCUUUAUCAAUGCAGUGCAUCCGGCGCGCAGCUGGCAUUAUGGCCUUUGAACGACCCAACAAACGAAGCGCACGUCGCUUCGACCGCGACCCCAGGUCAGGCGGGACUACCCGCUGAGUUUAAGCAUAU
rnacentral:rRNA from 1 species